GCCAUUUCAAGCGAGGACAGUCGUAACAAUGGAUACAGCUCCUUUGCCAAAAGUGUCUGUAAAUUUGCUUUAAGAGUGUAAUGCUGUAACGUAGUUUUAUUUAUUACGUACUGCUAACACAAUGAAAGCUGAGGCGUUACAUGAUAGUUCAAAAUUAUCAGAUUUUUAUAACUGCAAGAAGUUCCCGAAGAUGCUGUUAAUGUCCUAAAAGGGUAAAGGCAAAGCAAGUAUUUUAGCAUCAGGUUGUUAUUUGAAAAAAAAAAAAAAAAAAAAAAAAAAAAAUCCAAAUUCUGCACUUCUAAUAUUUGCUAAAUGUAAGUAUUGAGGAAUUUUGAUAUGCUUUGCACUAACUUUCAUUUU